GUCGCCUCCACCGGCGCAGAUGCUCACUUGUGAAGGUGUCGCCGAUGAUCGCGACGCUCGCGCGGACCCCAGCCGAUCAGCGCUGCAAAACCUAUGUGACGCACUCCUGCUCCUCUCAGGUGUUCACAGACAUCAUGAAUCGGGUCGUGGUUAUGCUGUGGAGCUUUGGACGUCGCUAUUUAAAGAGGUUUUGAACACGUUUUUAAACAUUUUUUUUAAUUGUACAUAAAAAUACAUCAGUGCUGUUGUUAUUUAUGACAUCUGCACCAAACUGUUAAAAAUCUGAAUUUUAUGGCUUUUAAUUAGCACAAAUGGACACCGGCUUCAAAAAUUAUUUUCUGAAAAGGCAUGGCUUAUGUGACUUGGAAUCUACCAUCCCAAAAUUAUAUGAAAGGUAGAAUCUUUCCGCUUCAAACCAACUUUACCAUUCAGAGACCACUCCCAUCCUCUCCUGUACCUGUACUGCCUCUGCUCCGGUUUUGGUAAUGCCGGUGCUGGAGCCAAUGGCCCAAAUAGGUAGUGCUCAGGACUACCACGGUCCACCACCACACUACAGCCUGCUUCAGGGGACUCUGGAGGGGAAAAAAUCCUCCACCUCAAAAGAUCGCUCUGAGGCAGCA